rnacentral:tRNA from 1 species
GGCAGCUCAAUGGUAGAGUGCUUGCCUUGCAUGCAUGAGGCCCUGGGUUCAAUUCCUCAGUACCA